rnacentral:rRNA from 1 species
AGUGAACGCUGGCGGUAGGCCUAACACAUGCAAGUCGAACGGCAGCACAGUAAGAGCUUGCUCUUACGGGUGGCGAGUGGCGGACGGGUGAGGAAUACAUCGGAAUCUACUUUUUCGUGGGGGAUAACGUAGGGAAACUGACGCUAAUACCGCAUACGACCUACGGGUGAAAGCAGGGGAGCUUCGGACCUUGCGCGAUUGAAUGAGCCGAUGUCGGAUUAGCUAGUUGGCGGGGUAAAGGCCCACCAAGGCGACGAUCCGUAGCCGGUCUGAGAGGAUGAUCAGCCACACUGGAACUGAGACACGGUCCAGACUCCUACGGGAGGCAGCAGUGGGGAAUCUUCGACAAUGGGCGCAAGCCUGAUCCAGCCAUACCGCGUGGGUGAAGAAGGCCUUCGGGUUGUAAAGCCCUUUUGUUGGGAAAGAAAAGCAGCAGGUUAAUCCCCCGCUGUUCUGACGGUACCCAAAGAAUAAGCCCCGGCUAACUUCGUG